UACGUAGGCAGCGAGCGUUGUUCGGAAUUACUGGGCGUAAAGAGUGUGUAGGCGGUGCUCCCAGUCUGUUGUGAAAUCUCCCGGCUUAACUGGGAGGGUGCAGCGGAAACUAGAGUGCUAGAGGGUGGGAGAGGUAAGCGGAAUUCCUGGUGUAGCGGUGAAAUGCGCAGAUAUCAGGAGGAACACCGGUGGCGAAGGCGGAUCUCUGGGCCAUUACUGACGCUGAGGAGCGAAAGCGUGGGGAGCGAACAGG
rnacentral:rRNA from 1 species